GACAGAGGAUGCAAGCGUUAUCCGGAAUGAUUGGGCGUAAAGCGUCUGUAGGUGGUUUAUUAAGUCUACUGUUAAAGAUCAGGGCUUAACCCUGAGCAGGCAAUAGAAACUAAUAAGCUAGAGUACGGUAGGGGCAGAGGGAAUUCCUGGUGUAGCGGUGAAAUGCGUAGAGAUCAGGAAGAACAUCGGUGGCGAAGGCGCUCUGCUGGACCAUAACUGACACUCAGGGACGAAAGCUAGGGGAGCGAACAGG
rnacentral:rRNA from 1 species